UGGUUCUGGCAUCGAUGAAGAACGCAGCGAAAUGCGAUAAGUAAUGUGAAUUGCAGAAUUCAGUGAAUCAUCGAAUCUUUGAACGCACAUUGCGCCCUGUGGUAUUCCGCAGGGCAUGCCUGUUCGAGCGUCAUUACAACCCUCAAGCUCAGCUUGGUGUUGGGCCACACCGGUAACGGUCGGCCCUAAAAUCAGUGGCGGUGCUGUCAGGCCCUAAGCGUAGUAAUCUUUCUCGCUACAGGGUCCUGCUACGUGCUCGCUAGACAACCCCCAUUCUAUGGUUGACCUCGGAUCAGGUAGGGAUACCCGCUGA
rnacentral:misc_RNA from 1 species